rnacentral:lncRNA from 1 species
UAAUUUUUUUUUGAAGGUUAUAUUUUUAAAAAAAUUUUCUGUAAAUAUUUAUUUUUUUAUUACUUUUCAUUUUUAAUUUUUAAAAAUUUAUAUUCUACUCUUUCAACAUUUUAAACUAUCCCCCCCCCCCGUUAGGGUUUCAUCCCUAUUUCGUCUAUUUCUUAUAAUUUAUAUCAAAAAUAUCUUUCAAAAUGACAGAAAUAUAUUUAAAAAAUUAGUUUUUCUUAUAGAAGAAAUAAGGACACUUUGCUUAUUUUGUUAUCUCCAUUAACGUCGUAUCCUUCUAAUAUAAAUUUUUAAAGUCAGUGAGGGAAAGGAAAAAAUCGGGUAUUCACAGAAAGGGAUUAUGUAAUUUAGUCAUUUCUUAAAUAGUAUAGACUAUAUUUAUUAUCUUAAAUUUUUUAUUUUAAAUUACUAAUAAUUA